AAUCCAUGUACUGGACAUUUCUAAAGUAAUUCUUUAAAUUGUUUUCAAGCUUCAUAUAGCGUUUCAUCCUCCUAUUGUCGAAAAGACGUGAUGUCAUUUCUAAGCUU
rfam:Gossypium hirsutum cultivar TM-1 unplaced genomic scaffold scaffold2821.1, whole genome shotgun sequence